AUCUACAGUCAUACCACACUGGAUAUGCCCAAUCUCAUCUGAUCUUGGAAGCCAAGCAGUGCUGGGCUUGGUUAGUACCAGAAAGGGGGACCUUCUGGGAAUACCAGGUACUGUAGAAC